rnacentral:rRNA from 1 species
GGACGAACGCUGGCGGCGUGCCUAACACAUGCAAGUCGAGCGAGAUGAACCCUCGGGGGGACGUCUAGCGGCGGACGGGUGAGUAACACGGUGGGUAACCUGCCUCGAAAGAGGGGGAUAGCCUCCCGAAAGGAGAUUAAUACCGCAUAACAUAUUUUUUCGCAUGAAGAGAUAAUCAAAGGAGUAAUCCGCUUUGAGAUGGACCCGCGGCGCAUUAGCUAGUUGGUGAGGUAAUGGCUCACCAAGGCAACGAUGCGUAGCCGACCUGAGAGGGUGAUCGGCCACAUUGGAACUGAGAUACGGUCCAGACUCCUACGGGAGGCAGCAGUGGGGAAUAUUGCGCAAUGGGGGAAACCCUGACGCAGCAACGCCGCGUGGGUGAAGAAGGCCUUCGGGUUGUAAAGCUCUGUCUUCUGGGACGAUAAUGACGGUACCAGAGGAGGAAGCCACGGCUAACUACGUGCCAGCAGCCGC